rfam:Schistosoma haematobium scaffold236_7, whole genome shotgun sequence.
GUCCAACUGAAGAGCCCCAUAUAGGAGGAAAUGCGUGUCCUGGAU